UACGUAGGGCGCAAGCGUUGUCCGGAAUUAUUGGGCGUAAAGAGCUCGUAGGCGGCUUGUCACGUCGGGUGUGAAAGCCCGGGGCUUAACCCCGGGUCUGCAUUCGAUACGGGCUAGCUAGAGUGUGGUAGGGGAGAUCGGAAUUCCUGGUGUAGCGGUGAAAUGCGCAGAUAUCAGGAGGAACACCAGUGGCGAAGGCGGUUCUCUGGGCAUUACCUGACGCUGAGGAGCGAAAGUGUGGGGAGCGAACAGG
rnacentral:rRNA from 1 species